rnacentral:siRNA from 1 species
AGCCUAACCCCAUGGUAUCCAGCU